rnacentral:lncRNA from 1 species
AUGACUGAUUUGAAGAGUCCCACUGGAUUGGGACUCUGACGAAGAGUCCCACUGGACUAAGACUCUAUUAUUAUUGAAAGGAUUAAUUAAUGAUUAAAUCAUUAAUUAACUCAAUUUGAUUGUGCAUUAAAAUCUGGAUCAAGUUUGAUUGAAUUGGAUUCAAUCAGGUCAGGUCUGAUUAGGUUAUGAGAUGAUCUAGUCGAUAUGGGAGAAAUGAUCCUGAUUUGAUCAGAUCUAUAGCUCAAUUAAUUUAUUGAUUUGAUUAG